AGCGAACGCUGGCGGCAGGCCUAACACAUGCAAGUCGAACGGACCUUUCGGGGUUAGUGGCGGACGGGUGAGUAACACGUGGGAACGUGCCUUUAGGUUCGGAAUAGCUCCUGGAAACGGGUGGUAAUGCCGAAUGUGCCCUUCGGGGGAAAGAUUUAUCGCCUUUAGAGCGGCCCGCGUCUGAUUAGCUAGUUGGUGAGGUAAAGGCUCACCAAGGCUACGAUCAGUAGCUGGACUGAGAGGAUGACCAGCCACAUUGGGACUGAGGCACGGCCCAAACUCCUACGGGAGGCAGCAGUGGGGAAUCUUGCGCAAUGGGCGAAAGCCUGACGCAGCCAUGCCGCGUGAAUGAUGAAGGUCUUAGGAUUGUAAAAUUCUUUCACCGGGGACGAUAAUGACGGUACCCGGAGAAGAAGCCCCGGCUAACUUCGUGCCAGCCGCCGCGGUAACAC
rnacentral:rRNA from 1 species